CUUCGUCUCCUCAGAGUGUGUCAACUGCACGUGUUCUUGCAUACCGGGCUACACCUACGUGGAAGGUGUUAUCGGCAGGUGCGAGGUGUUAACGAGCGAAGGAGAUUCCUCGCCUGCUGUUUAAGGGAGUGACAAGCUUCCCUUGGAGGCUUGUUGGGAGAAGAGUCAGUGUACCGAGGGCUUGGAUUGCCUCGAUGGAGUCUGCGCGUGUCCGUCGCCGUGCGAGUACGUGCCGGAGAGG